rnacentral:lncRNA from 1 species
CCGCAGGUGGCAACGCCUCCCCCUCCCCCACCUCGGUGGCGGCGGUGGGGGUUGUCACCCGGCGGGGACGGUGUCACCGUUUCUUGACCCCCCGACCCCCCCAUUGUCACCCAAUUGAGGGACAUUGUCACCGUUUGGGGACGGUGUCACCGUUUCUUGACCCCAUUGUCACCCAUUGAGGGACAUUGUCACCCCAUUGAGGGACAUUGUCACCGUUUGGGGACGGUGUCCCCAUUUCUUGACCCCAUUGUCACCCAUUAAGGGACAUUGUCACCCCAUUGUGGGACAUUGUCACCGUUUGGGGACGGUGUCACCAUUUCUUGACCCCAUUGUCACCCCAUUGAGGGACAUUGUCACCAUUUGGGGACGGUGUCCCCAUUUCUUGACCCCAUUGUCACCCAUUGAGGGACAUUGUCACCCCUUUUGGGACAUUGUCACCCCUUUGUGGAACAUUGUCACCAUUUGGGGACGGUGUCACCGUUUCUUGACCCCAUUGUCACCCCAUUGUGGGACACUGUCACCAUUUGGGGACAGUGUCAUCGUUUCUUGACCCCAUUGUCA